rnacentral:rRNA from 1 species
UACGUAGGGCGCAAGCGUUGUCCGGAAUUAUUGGGCGUAAAGAGCUCGUAGGCGGCUUGUCACGUCGGGUGUGAAAGCCCGGGGCUUAACCCCGGGUCUGCAUCCGAUACGGGCAGGCUAGAGUGUGGUAGGGGAGAUCGGAAUUCCUGGUGUAGCGGUGAAAUGCGCAGAUAUCAGGAGGAACACCGGUGGCGAAGGCGGAUCUCUGGGCCUUACCUGACGCUGAGGCGCGAAAGCUAGGGGAGCAAACGGG